rnacentral:rRNA from 1 species
UACGGAGGAUCCAAGCGUUAUCCGGAAUCAUUGGGUUUAAAGGGUCCGUAGGCGGCAAUGUAAGUCAGUGGUGAAAGUUUUCGGCUCAACCGGAAAAUUGCCAUUGAUACUGUAUUGCUUGAAUUAUUGUGAAGUGGUUAGAAUAUGUAGUGUAGCGGUGAAAUGCAUAGAUAUUACAUAGAAUACCGAUUGCGAAGGCAGAUCACUAACAAUUAAUUGACGCUAAGGGACGAAAGCGUGGGUAGCGAACAGG